rnacentral:lncRNA from 1 species
GCAGGUGAAUAAGCCAACCUGCAAAUCGAUCCUCCAGGCCCAGGCGAGCCUUCAAAUGACUGCAGCCCCAACAGACAUCUGACGGCAACGUUCUGAGAGAACCUGAGAUGAAGCACCCAGCUAAAUUUCUGACCCACAAAAAUCUUUAUGAGGUAAUACAUACUGAUUGUGCUAAAUUUUAGGAUCAUUUGUUAUGCAGCAACAGGCAAGUAAUACACAUACUAUCACCAAGAGGACACCCUUGAUAUGACCUACCAUUGCUUCACUAGCUUCAUAUCUUGCUGCUCUCCUCUUUUCUCAGUCCAGUCUAACUGCAUCAAAUUUUUCUUAAAACCAAGAAUGCUUCUGUCUCAAGGUUGCUGCCCAUUUCUUGUCUUUGUUCAAAUAUGACCCUUCUAGAGCUCUUCUUAACCAUUUCCUUGCAUCCUUUUCUGUUUUUUUUUUUUUUUUUUUUUUUAGCAUUUAUCCACGUGACGUGGUAUAUUUUACUUUCUUUUCUUGUUGCUGCUGUUUCUCUCUGCAUAACAAUGUAAGCUCUGUGAGAGUAGUGAUUUUGUUUUUGUUGUUGUUCACUGCAGGUAUGUUAGCACUUUGAGUAGAGUUUGGCACAUACUGAGUGGGUCAAUAUUUUAUUAAGGGAACUAAUGUUGUAGUGUGCUGGGUUUUUGUUUGUUGGCUUGCAUAUUUUCCCCCUCUGGAUUAUAAACUCCUUAACGUCGAGCACUCUAUCUUAUUCAUCUUCAUAUUUCUGUCACUUAUAUGAUGACAUAUGGAGUAACAUAUCCAUUUACUAAAGUAGAAAAAAGGGUCUGAGUUAUUUUUGGUGUUUAUACCACAGAGAAUAUUUUAAGAAGUUAAAAUAUAAGUUUUAAAAAAUGUAAGGGCUUAAAAAUACUUUGAAUGAGUCAGAGAUCUUAUGAAAUUAGCAAAUAUUACUUAAAAACAAUUAAAUUGCACAAAAAUUUGAAUUUAAAAGCAGCAAGACCAAUUUACUAUGUAGUUUUAAAACCAAAUUCAUUUGAACUCGAUAAUACAUUUGACAUAGAAAUUAAUUUCAUUGUAUUUUAAUCCCCUUCGAGAUUUUUUUUCUUCACUUGAGCACGUUUUACCUACUAGCUUGAAUGAAACUCCUUUUAUAAACUGACAAGCUAGAGCUCAUUGAAAAACAUUAAUUUUUUUGAUAAAUAUUUUUAACCUGGAGAAAAUCUCCAAUUAUAUAACCAUUUCCCCCAUAUUUAUAUUUUUGGGUUUAAAUAGCUUUUUAGAAAAUGUGUUGAAUUAUAUAUGCUUAAUACUUCUGAUUUUUUAUUUGUUGCUAAUCAUAAAUUAUGAUUUUUAUUCACUCCUAAUCAUUAAUUUCAAAAGUGAAAAAUAGAGAGGAAUUGGAUCUACCAAUCUCCAUGUCACUUUCUAAAGGCAAAUUUGAGAAGAUAAGAACUCUAUUCUUUCAUAGAAAGAAGCUAUGUUAGGCUUGAACAAGUCCUGGGAACUUAGAGCAUCCAGUUGACUUCUCCAAAGUCAAAAAUAUAGUUGAAGGCAUGAACACUGCCACAACUCAGCUGUCUAACCUCGUUAGUAAUUGUUCUGCUCACUAACCUAGCCCGCUUUCUAAAGUGUUAAGCGGAUGUUGGAGAACAAGGUUAUCUCUCCCCUGGGAAUUCAGGAUGCCAUUGUGUGAAACAAACUCAUUACCGAGAAAGUCAGAGUAAGAGGGAGAGAGAGAGAUGGGAGGAGGGAGAUUAUGCAUAUACAUAAGCUAAAUUCUGCCAUAUUCAAAUGCAAAACCCAGAAGUUGCUGUCAUUAAUAUUCAAAGACAAUUUGGGAUUACUUGCAGGAGAUGGAAAUGGUUCAGACGGGAAGGUUGUCCCAUCUAGCUCAAGAGAUGUGAGAUGCAGAGUUCCUGUUAUGGCUCAGCAGGUUAAGAACCUGACAUAGUGUUUGUGAGGAUGGGGUUUGGUAUUUGGCCUCCCUCAGUGGGUUAAAGAUCCAGCAUUACCAUAAGCUGUGACAUAGGUCAUGGAGGUAGCGUGGCUCCUGCAUUGCAGUGUUGCUGUGGCUCUGGUGUAGGCCAGCAGCUGCAGCUCCAAUUCAAGUCCCAGCCUGGAAUCUUCAUAAAUUGCAGGUGUGGUCCUAAAAAGAAAAGAGAGAGAGAGAGAGAGAGAGAGAAAUGUGAUACACCAUGUCCCAUGCCCAGGAGAUUUUGGUGAAGAUGGGAGCCCAAUUUAAAACUUUUUUAUGAUUAUACUAGAAAAAAUUAGAUACAUUCCUUAUGAGAAUUCACAGAGAAUUAUACAGAAAGUAGUGGAAAUCAAUAUAUUAUUGUUAAGGAAGCAUAGUAGUUUGGUACUUACCAAGUUUACUCACUUGGACUUUUGAAGUCAGAGAGUUCCAAUACUUUUAUUAUCGAGUAUGUUAGCUGUGGAUUUUUCUUGUGUAGGCUUGAUUAUGUUGAGAUAUAUCCCUUUUUUUUUUUGUAUGUGUGUGUAUGUGUGUAUUUAUAGGGCCGUGACGUAUGGAGUUUCCCAGGCUAGGGGUCUAAUUGGAGCCGCAGUGGCUGGCCUACGCCAGAGCCAUAGCAAUUUGGGAUCUGAGCCGAGUCUGUGACCUGCACCACAGCUCACGGCAAUGCCAGAUCCUUAACCCACUGAGCAAGGCCAGGGAUCGAACCCACAAUCUCAUGGUUCCUAGUUGGAACUCUCUGUGGCUGAUGUGCAUCUUAGCUUUGCUGGUCUCCGGCUGGGGUGAUAUCAAAGCAGGGCAUUUGUGUAGUGCCUGAAUGGCUUCAGAAGCUGGAUAUUCAUUCACCCUCUUUCCUAGAGGGGGAAAUGCUUUUUAUCUGGGAAGUUCCCAUUUGGUGCUGAGCAGUGCCCGGCAAAUGCAGGCAAAAUGUAGCUAUCCUUCCUUCCCUUUUUGUACAGUUACUCUUAGGUGUCCUGUUGAAGUUUCUUAAGGGGACUCCUAGCUCUCCCAGAACUGUUUUUUUUUCAUGGGUAGCUGUCUAAUUGUUGACUUUUGUAGGGGAAUUGAGGCUGCAGUCUUUUAUACUGUCAUCUUGGCAUGUUCUUGAGUUCAAGUUUAUUAAAUUGAUUUGCUUGUUGUUGUCUUAUAAAAGGGGAAAACACUAUUAAAUUUUUCUUUGCUGCAAUGAUUAAGUUCACUAUUUCUACAAUUGUUUUAGAAUUUUAAUUGGAAAAUCUUUAAAUAAUCAUCUACUUAGGAGUUUGAGUCUAACUCAUUACUAGACAAAGAUAAUCUCGAUUUAAAAUCUAGGUGAAUAUGUGUCCUAAAGCCUAGGACUUGAUUUUAAAACUAAGUUGUGUGCAUGGUUGAGCAACUCAUAUGUGUGGUGGAUUUAUCGCUUGUAUGAUCACCCUUGACCAUAGGGGCAUGAGAACUUCUGAGUGAAUGCUUUCUCUUCCAUUCCUUAGAAGGACAGUACAUUUCAUGAGGCUCUAGUUAGGCUACUGGGGACUCAUACACCUUUGGCCCACUUGGUAACUCACAUUUGAAUUGGUUACAGACAAAGCGCUUUUGUUGGGGGGGGGGGUUAGAUUUUAUGUUUGAUAGGCUUUGUAUUUUGACUUUUUUGCAUCUAUUUAAUUACUCUGAUAACUACUCUUGGAUGUGUUUGAUGUAAAGUAUUUUGUUCCCUAAUUUAUAAAGCUAUU